rnacentral:rRNA from 7 species
AACCUUCGGGAGGGCGCUUACCACUUUGUGAUUCAUGACUGGGGUGAAGUCGUAACAAGGUAACCGUAGGGGAACCUGCGGUUGGAUCACCUCCUUACCUUAAAGAAGC